rnacentral:tRNA from 1 species
GAGAAAGAUAAACAUAAGAACUGCUAAUUCUUACAACUGAGACUAAAACCCCAGCUCUCUCA